GGCCUUUAGUUUAAAAUUUAAGGUCUGGCCUGCCCACUGAUUAAUUUAAAGGCCGCGGUAAUUUGACCGUGCUAAGGUAGCAUAAUCAUUAGUUUUUUAAUUGAAAGCUGGUAUGAAUGGUUGGAUGAGAAAUUAACUGUCUCUAUUAAAUUUGAUAUGAAUUUUAUAUUUGAGUAAGAAAGCUUAAAUUUUUUUGGAAGACGAGAAGACCCUAUAGAGUUUAAUAAAAUUAAUUAUUUAAGUUUUUAGUAAUUUAAAAUUAAAAAAUUUAUUUUAUUUGGUUGGGGUGAUUGAAAAAUUUAAUAAACUUUUUUUAUAUAGAAACAUUAAUUUAUGAAUGUUUGAUCCAUUAUUUAUGAUUACAAGAUUAAAUUACCUUAGGGAUAACAGCGUAAUUUUUUUUGAGAGUUCAAAUCGAAAAAAAAGUUUGCGACCUCGAUGUUGGAUUAAAAUUAAUUUUUGGUGUAGAAGCUAGAAAUUUUGGGUCUGUUCGACCUUUAAAAUUUUACAUGA
rnacentral:rRNA from 1 species